rnacentral:rRNA from 1 species
UACAGAGGGUGCGAGCGUUAAUCGGAAUUACUGGGCGUAAAGGGCGCGUAGGUUGUACGAUAAGUCCGAUGUGAAAUUCCUGGGCUUAACCUAGGGACUGCAUAGGAUACUGUCGUACUGGAGUGAAGUAGAGGGUGGCGGAAUUUCCGGUGUAGCGGUGAAAUGCGUAGAUAUCGGAAGGAACACCAGUGGCGAAGGCGGCCACCUGGGCUUUAACUGACACUGAGGCGCGAAAGCGUGGGUAGCAAACAGG